rnacentral:lncRNA from 1 species
GGGUUCGAUCCCUGGCCUCACUCAAGGGGAUAAGUACCUGGUGUUGCUCUGAGCUGUGGUGUCGGUCGCAUAGGCAGCAUGUCUCCCAUGCUGUGGGAGCUGUGAGUAGGCCGGCAGCUGUAGCUCCUAUUUGAUUCCCAGCCUGGGAACGUCCACAUGCCGCAGGUGCAGCCCUAAAAAGCUAAAACAAAUAGAUACAAAUUUAAAAGGUGAUUAAUAAAUGCAAUGGCAGGCACACAGCCCUCUUAACUCUUUCUGGUGGGACAUGUGAUGUGGUCUUGUUUGAGAGGAGCAGAAGUAACUGCAUAUCUGUCCGAUCUUUAGCUCAGGGCUUAGAGGCUGUGGGCUGAAGGAGAGCACAUUUACUCAUCCCAGGUUAAUACAGCCUUGUCUGUUUCACAUUAUACGGUCCUCCGUGUUUGUUAUCCAUGAGAUUUGUGUGCCCCAGAGGGUGAUGAAAUCUUCAUGUCAUGUAACUUUGGUGCAUGAUGGAGCAGAUAUUUGCAUGGUGGACUGCUUUUCCUAGGACUGUGCUUUCGCUGUUUAGCACCGACGUAGGAUAAGAUCUGAUUGGAAAUGUGACGGGACGAGAAGACAUGGAUAAAAGGUAGCCCUGGAGCCUGAACUGAGUCCACACACUGAACUCACAGACCUGCAGGAGGAGAUGGAAGAAAGAAAACCAGCAGGUUUUGAGGAUGAGAAGAACCCAAGUAAUAGCAGAGGAGGUGCUGUGCAGGAGAGAUUGCUGCAGUGGCAUCCAGGACUGUCAGUGGAAGUGGGGAAUGACAUGACACCACCUUUCGGACACCCAACUGGCAAGAGGCCACGCAGUCCAAGAAUUGGUCGCAGACUUGAAGAAACUCUUCCAGAACAAGAUACAUAA